GCCUGCGUAGGCAAAUGCUACAUCGCCCAAUGCAGAAAGAAAGUUGAACACUGCAUCAGUGGAAUUGGUGGCUCGGAGACCAUAAUUCACAUCUGGUUCAACACCCUUGGCUAUUGAAGCACACCAAGAGAUGGUUGAGUACCUGUUUAAAUUGAAGAAACACGCAUAAGAUAGUACAAACUUCAUCUUAUAAUCUGCUUUUUUUUUUUUUUCAGAUUUAAAGUUAACUUGUUAACAUGAAUUACAUCAAAGACAUGGCAGCUGCACCGAAAGAGAUAGCAGAGAUGGAGUUGAAGUUGGGGCAUUGUGCAAGAACGAAGUUGACAGAAGCAAAGAUAACAAUCCAGUAAGAAGUUCUAAUAUCUCUGCAAUCAGGGCAAAUGGUA
rnacentral:lncRNA from 1 species